CUGUGACGAUCUAGAGCUAACAUGUACUCACAUGUCAUGUUUCAGUUAUUAAAUCAAUAUCAAUCAAACAGCAAGCACCUACACUCGAAUAAAAGUCAAUAGCUUUUUUUUGGGAUUUUUUGUAUGAAGCAGUUAAAUUUUAUAGAUGUUUGUAUUGUAUUAUUUAUCAAAUGAAUGUUCUAUUUUCGUUGUAGUUGCAAGACCUCCAUAAAUCGCCACAUCGCUGCAGACAUGAAGGAAAAAGGCUGAAAGGAAGGCGUUCACAAAUAAAAAUGUAACAAGUGUAAUGACACCCGCCUCCUCAUUGUGAAAGCGGGCAAUACCCCAAGAAUGGUCUCAUUAUUAUAGAAAUAGAA